UGGUUGGUUAGCAUUAUUUUUAUUUAACCGUCAUAAUCUCAACGUAUAUAAACGUUAAGUCGCGUGUUAUCCUUUUUCGUAGGGGUUCCCCCCGAAGGGAUAAGUACCUCUAUCACAAAAUGAAGUGUCUGUAUUUCGUAAGAUUUGUACAGUUUUUGCUGUACAAAUCACCAAGUUUUAUUGUUCUUCGUUUUUCGUACGAUUAAUUUCGGUUUAAAAAUGUUACGUGGAAGCGGCACUAUCUUGGUUCUAAUUUAUUGUAACGCUAAUGGCUGCCACAAUUUCCGGUUGAGUAUUUGCCAUUUAAUAUUUCGUUAAUUCAUUAUCUGACGGUUUUCGGAAAAUCAUUUUUAUUUCGAUGCAAAUUCAAAAUGAUGAGCAUAUUUUUCGCUGCUAUAAGGUAGAUGCAAUGGCUGUACCUAAUUGUUCGAUAUUAUGCAUUACCUGGUCCGAGCACAUUCGCAGCGGGUCAUGAUAUUUUUCAUAUGAGAUGUAGUGCUAUUCAAUUACGAAUCCUUCGAGCCAUUUGAAAAAAAUCUCAACAAUGCGAAGAACUUGCUCGCUUAAUGUCAUGCUGUGGAUUUUUUCUCGUCAGGGUGUUUGAAGUAGAACCGCAAUAUCGUAUUCAGCAAGGUUACCUUAAAUGGAAACUAAAGCUCAGCUUUCAAUCAUUCACCGCUCGGAGCAGUACGUCGUUCAUGUAUCGCAUCAUCGGUAUAAAAUUUCUUACGUCAUGCUAAUUUUUCUCGCAGUCUUUGUUUACUUUCAAGGAUUUUUCAAACUUUAUGCAUUUUCGUGUACCUAUUUCUUCAUGUACGUUUGUACUUGGUAUGCAUGGCCGAAAAUUUGUACAGACAGCUGGAGUAAGCAGUAAUCAACCACUUGAGCUGAUAUUUUUACAAGUUGAUAGGUUCCCAAGGUGUCUACGAAGUCAUCAGCGUUAUCAAAAAAUAAUGUUUUUGGUAUAACAUUAAUACAAUUGUUUUCAUA